rnacentral:lncRNA from 15 species
UUUUAUUGAUUAAAGUUUUAUUAUUACAUCACAACGCAAGUUUUGUACUGAACAGUUUUUUGAGUUGUGUUUAUCUGUUCAGGUGAGGACACAAUAACAACAACAACUACUACAUCUCCUACAAAACGAACAACAACAAUUCCAAGUACGACAAAAACAACAACAACUGAAAACAGCAUAAAACCAGGAACCAACACGACAUCGUCUCCAAUCAAUGAUACUUCAACAGUACUAAAAGGGAAAAAAACACAGAUGCACGAAUACAUGGUGGGAGAUAAUGAAGAUGAUGGUACAGUGAACUAUGAAAACAUCACAUCAUCUGAUGUCUGACCAACACUUCUGCCUCCAUCAGACUUCUACAUCAACAUCAACUCAUCACCUUUUACAUGAGUAGACUUUAAAUAAAAGGACACAAGACCAUUUUGAGAAACAUAAUAUUUCAUUUUUGUCUUUUCUUGCGUCUGCAACUGGAUUUUAAAUUAAUUGAACUGGGAAGAGCAUUUAAAUUUUGUUUAACUUCCUUAAAUCUGCUUCCAAACAAAUCAUUUAGUCCUGACUGUAACUGAUCCAUUUUAAAUCUGCAGCUUUAGCUCAGUUUAGUGUCUGUUUAAGAAGAACUCAUUUAAAUUAACGUACAUUGAGCAUCUUUGUUAAUAUGUUUGUUAGAGUCCAAUAUGUUUUCGGUUUGUUUUUUGGAUUUGAGUCUUAAAGGAGUUCUUAACAGUUUUAUCUUAAUUACAUGUAUAAUUAUAUAAUCUGCAA